ACCUAAACAUUGUGUGUUAGCAGGGGCAAGUGGAACACAUACCAUCUGUGUCUGUACGAUCCAUCAAAACGUUAAGUUAAUGAUGCUUGGUGCGAAUAUUUAUUCUCUAACAAGAAAUACAGAUAUAUCCAUUACAUACUAUAGUGAUUGUUUGAGUUUGAUUGUAUAAAAUUACACGUAGCAGUAUGGUGCAACUUUGGCGGCCCUCAC